GACGAACGCUGGCGGCGUGCUUAACACAUGCAAGUCGAACGGUAAGGCCCUUCGGGGUACACGAGUGGCGAACGGGUGAGUAACACGUGGGUGAUCUGCCCUGCGCUUCGGGAUAAGCCUGGGAAACUGGGUCUAAUACCGGAUAGGACCACUGCCGGCAUGGGUGGUGGUGGAAAGCUUUUGCGGUGUGGGAUGGGCCCGCGGCCUAUCAGCUUGUUGGUGGGGUGAUGGCCUACCAAGGAGACGACGGGUAGCCGGCCUGAGAGGGUGACCGGCCACACUGGGACUGAGAUACGGCCCAGACUCCUACGGGGGGCAGCAGUGGGGAAUAUUGCACAAUGGGCGCAAGCCUGAUGCAGCGACGCCGCGUGAGGGAUGACGGCCUUCGGGUUGUAAACCUCUUUCAGCACCGACGAAGCGCAAGUGACGGUAGGUGCAGAAGAAGGACCGGCCAACUACGUGCCAGCAGCCGCCGUAA
rnacentral:rRNA from 1 species